UUGCAUAUCAAUAAAGCGGAGGAAAAGAAACCAACAGGGAUUGCCCCAGUAACGGCGAGUGAAGCGGCAACAGCUCAGAUUUGGAAUCUGGCCUUCGGGCCCGAGUUGUAAUCUGGAGAGGAUGCUUCUGGCGCGGUGCCUUCCGAGUUCCCUGGAACGGGACGCCGGAGAGGGUGAGAGCCCCGUACGGUUGGACACCUAGCCUUUGUGAAGCUCCUUCGACGAGUCGAGUAGUUUGGGAAUGCUGCUCAAAAUGGGAGGUAAAUUUCUUCUAAAGCUAAAUAUUGGCCAGAGACCGAUAGCGCACAAGUAGAGUGAUCGAAAGAUGAAAAGCACUUUGAAAAGAGGGUUAAAAAGUACGUGAAAUUGUUGAAAGGGAAGCGCCCGUGGCCAGACUUGCGCUGCGCGGACCACCCAGCGUUCUCGCUGGUGCACUCCGCGCGGCGCAGGCCAGCAUCGGUUUUCCUAGGGGGAUAAAGGUUGCGGGAACGUAGCUCCUUCGGGAGUGUUAUAGCCCGUGGCGUCAUGCCCCUGGGGGGACCGAGGACCGCGCUUCGGCAAGGAUGCUGGCNAAUGGCC
rnacentral:rRNA from 1 species